GAAGUCACUUUUCUACACAAGGAAGUCACUCUGGCUCUCUCUCCAUGUUUGUCUACACAGUGCCUGCCCUUCCAGGAGUAGGAAAGUCCCUCAUCUAGAGCUCAACCUUGGGCCUUAAGAGUGUGUGGUGGGGGGUGUUCAAGCAUCCCGCCAACAAUGUGGAGAUGUGGCAGAAACCCAUUUACCUGUUACAUUGGUAUUUGGCUCCACAAAGAAAUGUUUCAUUGCUUUGUCAUAAAAAUAAAUUAAUGAAUUAAGUUAAAACAAAAAGUGGCUCCACAAAGAAGCCGUGUAAGCAUCUGCCCAUUGGACUUCCUUCAAUGCACCAUCCCUCUCACCAGGCUGUGGGGAGGACAGGGAGCUGGGGCUGGGAAGGGCAGCAGGAAGAGGAAGGUGUGCUUAGGGACAGGCAAAGGUGCCCCAUCCCUGACAAUUGUAGGACACUUCUUUCCCCAUAUAUUUCCCUACAACUUCCUAAAAUUGUAGCUGCUGGAGAACCUGGACUCUGGUGACUGAGGGCUGCCCUGUGAGUGAGGUUAGGGCUUUCCCAUCUGCCUUCACACAGGAGCCUGUGUCACAUGGCACCUGGGCAGCACAAGGAGAGGAACAUCAAUAGAGGGGGAACAGGGUGGCACACACCCUCACACCUCACCAGGUAGGCUGAUAUGGCUGGAAAAACACCAACAGAUGAAAAGCACCCUUUUCUCAUCUUCCCAAAGUAAAUCCUUGAGACAUCAGCUGCUCCACACGCUGGUCACUGUGGGUGGGGAGCUGAACACCUCCUUCCAUGAAAUGGGAAAAGACACAGAGGGAGUCAAAAUACGCCCCUUGUUUGCCUGCCUUCACCCUCCCCAGUCCUCUCUGUGCUGGUAUUUGCCCCAGAGCCAGGUCUUCUUUAAAAACCAAAAUUACUCCAGCCUCUGUCAGCAAGUGUUUGACUCCCCUGGGGUUUUAAAGAGGUCUUCUCAGGCCCCUGAUUUCUGUUCCCUGACACCUGCCUCAUCAGCAAGCGCACAUAAGUAGCUGCCUACAAGCAUCCUAUAAUCACUCAGUAGAUGAACAGCAGGGCUAAUAGGGACCCCAGUGGGCAUCCAAGCCUUGAUUCAAUGAGACAUAGAUUUGACAGAUUCCCAUCAUGUACAGAUGCACCUAAUGGAAUGAAACUUCAUGCCCUUUAUUUACCUUAGGUGCGUGUAUUGCACCCUGGUGAGUCCUACUCUACUUUAGUCUGUUCUAUUUUAUUAAAAAAUCAAUUCACAAUCCCUACUGGUUCAGCCUGCCAUCCAAGAAGCACUGUUGCAUUCCAACCCCAUUUUCCAGACAAGACCAUGGACUCACUGAUCCAUGGUUCCACCCCACACCUCUGAGGAUGACUUCACACCUGUUCCUGGCACAGUACAGAGACUUGAAGUACUUAUAGAUGUGCACGAAUGCUGGUUGUGCAAAGACCACAUGUGUAUAUGCCUGCAAGCCUUAUUCUCAUUCUCAGCCAGAAGACUUAUUCACAAUAGCCCAAAGGUGGGAACAACCCAAGCGUUCGCAGAGGAAUGAAUGGAUACGCAAUGUGGUCUAUCCAUACGAUGGGAUAUUAUCCAGGCUUAAAAGGGAAUGACAUUCUGACACACCCUGCUACAUGAAUGAACCUUGAGGACAUCAUGCAAAGUGAAAUAAGCCAGACACAAAAGGCAACAUAUUGCAUGAUUCCACUUCUAAGAAUUACCUAGAGUCAUCCAUUUCGUAGGGACAGAGAAUGGAGAAAUGUUUGCCAGGGCUGGAGGAGAAGGGAAUGGAGAGUUUGUGUUUAAUGGGUACAGAAUUUCAGGUUGGGAAGAUGACAAUGUUCUGUGGAUGGAUGGUGGUGACAGUUGCCCGACAAUGUGACUGUGCCCAGUGCCACCAGACUGUAUGCUGAAAAUGACUAAGAUGGUA
rnacentral:lncRNA from 10 species